AUCUUUAUUAUGAUUAAUGGGCCAACUUAAACAUCUUUUGACUUUCAAAUUUCUAGAGUGACAAAUUCCUGUAGGUCCGUUAUUGAUGCAAUCAAGAACUUUACUGUCCAAUCUGGCAAUUUGUUAUGGAUCUUAAAAUCCCACUUGUUCUUUAGCAAGUGAUGAUAAUUGAUAAGGCUUCAAGAAUUUUAUACUAAGUACCACCUUAAGGAGUCCUUAAUUACCUUUUUUUAUUAUUUGAACUGGAGUCCUUAAUUACUUUGGUCAUGUCGUUGUUCCCUUUUAUUAGAGGAUUACACAGGAGAGCUAAAACACAUGGAUGACAGGUUGCUUUUGCUUUUAUAAAGUUUAGUUCACAAAGUGUCCCCGGCUAUUAGGUGUCCUUAAUUUAAUAUAGGAUCCGUCAUACUCCUCUGCUUUGAUGCAGAACAUAAUAAUGCAAUAUUCCUCGACAUUUGCCUUUUGAAGAUCAACUGUUUUACAGUCUGUGCGACAUAUCAAGACAAUGAACAUUUCUAGUUCCAUCUAAUUAGGCAGAAGGUAGUAGGCAUUGAAGAUUUUGUUAUAUUUUCUUCAUAUGUUUAACAAUCAUUUUACAGGGUUCUGGUGGCAUCACUGUG
rnacentral:misc_RNA from 1 species